CACGACUGGGGGGGGGGUAACGGCCGGGAUUGGAUACAGAAACCAGAAACCCCGCCUCCAGGCCGCAACAGAUAUCUGCUCCCUCCCCUCCUCGGUCUGCACCCAGGCAGCCCAUGCUCAGAGGCAGCCAGACAGACAGGCAGCACCACAGCAGCGAAGCUUGGGUGUAGAGCCCGCUGGUGCUGGGCAGCAGAUCCUGACUCCAAUGCCUCCUCAUCUCCCGAGCCGAGACAGAUCAGCCUCCGCCUCCAGCUCAGGGACCUGCGGCACUGUGGUGCAAUGAAGGGGCAUGCAGCAGUACUGUCAGCGCAGUACUAGCAGGAGGAGGCGGUCCAGCCAAUCCAGCCCCUCCUCUCACCUUUUCUUCCUAUCUCUACCGCUGUUGCCCAAUGUCACGAUCCCACAAAAACCAGAAGAGCGGACCUGCUGCUGCUGUUGCUGAAAGAGGACCCGUUGGUACACAGUGCCGCAUGUACUUAAGGGGACGACGACACGCAGUGACACUUGUAUCGGAGAAGUGAAACUACAUUCAACAGUUCACAGAAAAGCUGUUAUAGUAAACAUGUCCUAUCUGCACUUUGAAGAGUUUCACAUACUGUACAACAGGGCGUUGGUUACUAGAUAAUAUAAAUUCAAACGUUGUGUCUUGAAUAUCCAGUUCUUUCAAUGUGAUUAAGUCUGCAAAAAAUAAGGAGCAAAAAGGAGAAAUUCCAAAAUUCCCAAUUAUUCAGAUUUUAGACUCUCCACCUCUCUACAAAACUUCAAACGGGCUCUCAAGACCCACUUCUUCACCAAACCCAGCCCAAUCUCAUCCUAACCCUCUGUUCUACGCUCUCUAUGUACCCCAUCUGUGUCACCCCUGUCUGUCUACCACUCCCCUUUAGAAAUGGUUUGUUUGGGGUUUACUGGGCGCUUCAAUAGACUUUAUAGCGGCCUCGUUACUUCUAAAGGACUUAUCCCAGACAGUCCAAAUACUUGUGAGA